UUACCUGGGCUCGAACGUAAGAUGACUGUAGGUGAAAGCUUACAUCUCUUCGGAGCAUUUUACGAGGUGCUGCAUGGUUGUCGUCAGCUCGUGCCGUGAGGUGUCGGGUUAAGUCCCAUAACGAGCGCAACCCCUACCUUUAGUUGCCAUCAGGUUAAGCUGGGGACUCUAAAGGAACUGCCUACGCAAGUAGUGAGGAAGGCGGGGAUGACGUCAAAUCAGCACGGCCCUUACGUCCAGGGCUACACACGUGCUACAAUGGCCGAUACAGAGGGCAGCUACCUGGUGACAGGAUGCAAAUCUCCAAAGUCGGUCUCAGUUCGGAUCGGAGUCUGCAACCCGACUCCGUGAAGUUGGAUUCGCUAGUAAUCGCGCAUCAGCCAUGGCGCGGUGAAUACGUUCCCGGGCCUU
rnacentral:rRNA from 1 species